rnacentral:misc_RNA from 1 species
UCCUCUUUACAGAGGCAGUUUCGUCCGAGUCCCCGACUUUACUCGCUGGUAACAGACAAUGAGGGUUGCGCUCGUUGCGGGACUUAACCCAACAUUUCACAACACGAGCUGACGACAGCCAUGCACCACCUGUGUAUCACCCUCGAAGGCGACUACUUUUCGGUAGCUUGCAGAUACAUGUCAAGCCCUGGUAAGGUUCUUCGCGUUGCAUCGAAUUAAGCCACAUGCUCCACCGCUUGUGCGGGCCCCCGCCAAUUCCUUUGAGUUUCAACCUUGCGGCCGUAGUUCCCAGGCGGCUCACUUAAUGCGUUAGCUGCGGCACCGAGGGAAUCCCCCGACACCUAGUGAGCAUCGUUUAUGGCCAAGACUAC